rnacentral:rRNA from 1 species
GAUGAACGCUGGCGGCGUGCCUAACACAUGCAAGUCGAGCGAGAAAUCUUGGAAUGAGACUUCGGUUAAGUGAAGAGAUGGAAAGCGGCGGACGGGUGAGUAACGCGUAGGCAACCUGCCUUAUGCAGAGGGAUAGCCAUUGGAAACGAUGAUUAAAACCUCAUAAAGCCAUUUUAUCACAUGGUGAGAUGGUCAAAGAUUUAUCGGCAUAAGAUGGGCCUGCGUCUGAUUAGCUAGUUGGUGGGGUAACGGCCUACCAAGGCGACGAUCAGUAGCCGACCUGAGAGGGUGAUCGGCCACAUUGGAACUGAGACACGGUCCAAACUCCUACGGGAGGCAGCAGUGGGGAAUAUUGCACAAUGGGCGAAAGCCUGAUGCAGCAACGCCGCGUGAAGGAAGAAGGUCUUCGGAUCGUAAACUUCUGUCCUUGGGGAAGAUAAUGACGGUACCCUUGGAGGAAGCCCCGGCUAACUACGUGCCAGCAGCCGCGGUAAUACGUAGGGGGCAAGCGUUAUCCGGAUUUACUGGGUGUAAAGGGAGCGUAGACGGUUUAGCAAGUCUGAAGUGAAAGCCCGGGGCUCAACCCCGGUACUGCUUUGGAAACUGUUAGACUUGAGUGCAGGAGAGGUAAGUGGAAUUCCUAGUGUAGCGGUGAAAUGCGUAGAUAUUAGGAGGAACACCAGUGGCGAAGGCGGCUUACUGGACUGUAAACUGACGUUGAGGGCUCGAAAGCGUGGGGGAGCAAACAGGAUUAGAUACCCUGGUAGUCCACGCCGUAAACGAUGAGUACUAGGUGUCGGGGGGCAAAGCCCUUCGGUGCCGCCGCAAACGCAAUAAGUAUUCCACCUGGGGAGUACGUUCGCAAGAAUGAAACUCAAAGGAAUUGACGGGGACCCGCACAAGCGGUGGAGCAUGUGGUUUAAUUCGAAGCAACGCGAAGAACCUUACCUGGUCUUGACAUCCUUCUGAUCGGUCCUUAACCGGACCUUUCCUUCGGGACAGGAGUGACAGGUGGUGCAUGGUUGUCGUCAGCUCGUGUCGUGAGAUGUUGGGUUAAGUCCCGCAACGAGCGCAACCCCUAUCUUUAGUAGCCAGCAUAUAAGGUGGGCACUCUAGAGAGACUGCCAGGGAUAACCUGGAGGAAGGUGGGGACGACGUCAAAUCAUCAUGCCCCUUAUGACCAGGGCUACACACGUGCUACAAUGGCGUAAACAGAGGGAAGCAGCCUCGUGAGAGUGAGCAAAUCCCAAAAAUAACGUCUCAGUUCGGAUUGUAGUCUGCAACUCGACUACAUGAAGCUGGAAUCGCUAGUAAUCGCGAAUCAGAAUGUCGCGGUGAAUACGUUCCCGGGUCUUGUACACACCGCCCGUCACACCAUGGGAGUCAGUAACGCCCGCCGUCAAAGGCCCAACCGUAAGGAGGGAGCUGA